rnacentral:rRNA from 1 species
GAUGAACGCUGGCUACAGGCUUAACACAUGCAAGUCGAGGGGAAACGGCCUCCAAAUCUUGGUUUUGCUAGGCGUCAACCGGCGCACGAGUCAGUAACGCGUAUCCCUCCUGCCCGGCACUUGUGCAUGACAUUGCGGCAAUUAGCCUAAUGCCCCAUGUCAUCCCACGUGGGGGUCCGAAUGUUUUUGCGGAUUUGUCGGUUGUGGCUGGUGAUGCGGCUGAUUGGCUUGUUGGUGGGGUAGUGGCCCUCCACGGCUAUGACGGGUAGGCGGCCUGAGAGGGUGACCGGCCACAUUGGAACUGAGAUACGGCGCAGACUCCUACGGGAGGCAGCAGUGGGGAGUAUUGCACAAUGGGCGGAGGCGUGAGGCAGAAGCGCCGCGUGCGGGAUGACGGCCUUCGGGUUGGAAACAGAUUUCGCCUGUGACGAAGCGUGAGUGACGGUAAUGGGUAAAGAAGCACCGGCUAACUACGU